rnacentral:lncRNA from 1 species
GGGGACUUUGCGGGGUAGCUAAUAGUCUUUCCCUAAAGAGGCUGUGUACUGACAGUAUGAUUUUAUUUUCUGACAAAGAUGUUCAAGGAAUUCAAACUCUUCGUAAUAAUGCUAUUGUUGUCUCUAUGAUAAUAGUAAAAUAUGAUAUAAAAAAAUAUUAAUGGAUAAUAAAAGCUUUGCUGACAUAUUAUUCUAUGAUGCAUUCUAAAAAAUGAAUAUGAU